CGCGAGUGUUCGAGAGAAACAGCUGGCGUUGGUGUGACGGCGUAUCAGCGGGGGUUGCCAUUCAGGCUGCUGAAAUCUCGGCGGGCUGCAGCUUUCAUUCUGUGGUCUUGCCGCGACCUCCCCUGGGCGCUUCAGCGCUCUCUCUAAAAGAGUGUUUCCAAAAAUUCUAAAAGAGCUAUUUCUAAAAGAGCUUCACGAGCGACGGGCGUCUUUUUAAAGAUGGCUUCCCGCUCGUGCGUUUCUGGAUGCGGUCGUUUCCUGCCUUCAUCUGACGGUCAUGAUCACUGCCUCUCGUGCUUGGGCUUACAGCACGCUGAAGCAGCGCUCAUGGAUGAGUCAUGUUCUCACUGCGGGAACAUGACCAUCGCGACAUUGCGGUCCAGAUACCUCCUCAUUAAACGGGGGGGUAUCCCCCUUGCCAUGCCCCGCUCUAGCUCCUCUGGUUCUCGGAGGGCUACUUCGGUUCAUGGUCAGGGAGACCUGAGGGUUACAGUGAGAGCUUCCCCGUCGAGUACGUCUCCGCGGGCCUCUCAUUCCUCGAGCAUGUCGCACCACCUGGUGCUUCCGGACGAGCGUGCUGGGUCCUCGGACAGGGCGGGGUCUAGCAUCUUGUGCGGGGCACAGGCAGAGGACAGGAUGUCGGUCGCUGCAUCGGAGGGCGAGCUAGGCUCUGGAGAUGAGGAUUCGGCUGCGCUGCCACCGUCAGGUAGAGUGGCGUUGCCCGAGUCAGAUCCAGAGCUGACCGCUAUGCUUUCCCGGGCCGCUGAGAGCGUCGGGCUGCACUGGAGGCCUCCGCCUUCUCCCGAACGCUCGAGGCUGGAUGAUUGGUUCCUGGGGGCGCAGGCCGGGCGUCGGCAGCCACCUCCGGUUCCAUUCUUCCCGGAAGUGCAUGAGGAGGUUACAAAGUCUUGGAAGGCACCUUUUUCUGCCCGAAACAGACUUGGUGCCUCCUCCGUCCUCACCACCCUCGACGGGGGGGCGGCCCAAGGGUAUGUGGACAUCCCUCCGGUCGAGCGCGCGAUUGCCAUGCAGCUCUGCCCGCAAAGCGCCGCCGCCUGGAGAGGUAGUCCACGCCUUCCGUCCAGGGCCUGUAAGUUCUCGUCCGCUCUGACGGCUAAGGCUUACAGUGCCGCUGGACAGGCCGCUUCCGCCCUGCACGCCAUGGCCCUCCUGCAAGUCCACCAGGCCAAGGCGUUGAAGCAGUUGCACGAGGGUGGUGCUGACUCAGGUGUGCUGCAGGAACUGCGCACCGCGACGGACCUCGCGCUUAGGGCGACGAAAGUCACGGCGCAGGCCCUGGGUCAGACGAUGUCCACAUUGGUGGUCCAGGAGCGCCACCUAUGGCUGACCUUGGCGGAUAUGAGGGAGCCCGACAAGCAUCGCUUCCUGGACUCCCCGAUCUCCCAGGCCGGCCUAUUCGGCGAAGCGGUGGAGGGCUUUGCCCAACAGUUCUCCACCGCACAGAAGCAGACGGAGGCGUUCCGACACAUCCUGCCCCGGCGGUCUGCUGCUGUCCGCACCCCACCGCCGGCUGCAGCCCCUCUGUCUGCUCG
ensembl:lncRNA